rnacentral:lncRNA from 1 species
ACAACACAACUCUAAACACAAAAGAAAGACAUACAAGCUUCAUAUUACAAGCUAGGGGCCUCGAGGGCUCGAAUACAAAAGGUCGAUACACAAGCGAGUCAGUGGAAGCAACAAUAUUUGAGUAGAGACAUAAGUUAAACAAGUUUUUGCCUUAAGAAGGCUAGCACAAACAUCAACGAUCGAAGAGGCAAGGCCUCCUGCCUGGGACCUCCUAACUACUCCUGGUCGUCGGCGGGCUCCACGUAGUAGAAGGCACCCUCUGGGUAGUAGUAGUAGUCGGCGGGGGUGGCAUCAUCUGGCUCCUGGGAUCCACCAACUGGUUGCAACAACCAGAAAGAAGAAAGAAGGGGGAAAGGGGGAGCAAAGCAACCGUGAGUACUCAUCCAAAGUACUCGCAAGCAUCAGAUCUAUACUAAGUAUGCAUUGGUAUCAAAUGGAAGGGUUGUAUCUGUGGACUGAACUGUAGAAUGCUAGAAUAGAGGGGGGAGGCCUAGCCUAUCGAAGACUAGCAACUUCAAGCAGCUCCAAGCAUCUUCCAGCAUGUAGAAGAGUAAAGAAUAGCAGUUUAUAAUAACAAGCAUGUUGUAGCAUUAACGCCUGGAGAUCCUUCCUCGACUCCCUGCGAGAAAGCAAUCCCGGAGCCACAUAUCCAUCACAUAUCAAGUAUCCAUUUCUAGUUGUAUAAGAUCAGGAUAUAAGUCUGAAUGUUCAUUACCGAGGACACAGUAUUCGAAUAAAUAUCUUCCCUGCAGGGGUGCACCACUUUACCCAACACGCUCGAUCACUCUGGCCGGACACACCUUUCUGGGGUCAAUGCCCGCCCUCGGAAGAUCAACACUUCGCAGCCCGACCUAGGCUCAGCAGAGAGAUCCCCGCCGGUUUACAUCCUAAGCACUCCGGGGUCUGGGCCCAUCGCCCGUUGCACUCUGGAUCGUUGUGCGCAAGGGGAUACCAGCACCACCCGUGAAGUGGAUGGCACAAUCCGGCCCGGCCACAAUGCUGAACUGGACGUCUGACAAAGCUUCGGCUGAUACGGCGACGUCGAGGCCCAUAACUAUUCUCGCGUGGUGGUUAGUGCGUAAAGGACAAAGGCCAACUCAGAUCAAAUACCCAAACCUGUUAGUGCAUUAUUAAAAGGAGUGACUGCUGUCGGGACAAGUCCGGAGCUAUCACCCCCUCCCGGGUGAUACCGCUAAAUAGCCAGCCGCCACUGUAACAUCGCACGGGUGCUCUCCGGGCCCGCCCGACUUUCACAACGGUCUCCAGUAAAGUCAAGGUAAUUGUGUGUCCAGACAUCAAGGGGAAAACCCGAGGAAUCACCCCCGGUGGAUUCCAGUCAAUGUAAUCAUCAAGUUGAACAUAAGAGGGACCACGCUCGAGGUUCACAGUUGAGGUGUUGAACAACAGAGCCGUAUCGGGAAUGGCGAAAGAGGAAAUCACCCUCGAUGACCACGACCGAAUAGCUACACUACAGAAUUAUCAUGAGGAGUGCGUUAUGAGGGAUCACCCUCGGCACUCGAUAGUAGCUCUGCAGAGUCGAGCAACUAAAGCGACGUGAUGUGAUGUGAGAUGUCGGGCUCUGGUCAUCGAUCACGUCGAUCGAGGCGUUGAUGAUGAAGCAGGGGCAACAAGGACAAGUGGGGGUCACUGAUGGAUCACUAACCAACCUAUACUAACCAGUUUAGGAUAAGCAGGUAGGUAACAAUAAGCACGUACAAAAGCAGGCUAUGCAUCGGAAUAGGAGCAAACAAUACUAGUAGCAAAAUCUAAUGCAAGCAUGAGAGUAUAGAAUGGGCGAUAUCGGAAUGAUCAAAGGGGGGGCUUGCCUGGAAGCUCCGCGGAAAGGGAAGAAGGGUCGUCGUCGACGUAGUCGAACACAGGGGCAUCAGCAGCGGUCUCGGGGUCUACCGAAGAGAAGAGGGGGGGGGGUGGGAACAAUGAAUACAUAGCAAGCAAGUGCAUAACAGGACAACAGGCAGAGCUAGACGUGUUCUAACGCGGUGCUACACGAUACCGGCGAAGGGGGAUAACAUCCGGAAAUGUUUUCCCGAAGUUUGGCAUUUUCGGACAGGUGAAAAGGAGGAGGACGGUUGCAUGUUUGCUAUGCUAGGGACACAUGACAGAUGGACGGAGAGCAUAUUCCGAUUCGUCUCGUCGUUCUGAGCAAGUUUCAUGUAGAAAACUUUUUCAUCCAAGUUACGGAUUAUUUUAGAUGAUUUUCAAAGUUUUCGGUAUUUUUUGGAAUUUCUUAUUAAAUCAAAAAUAAUAGCAAAAUGCUAUGUGUAUACACUGAAGUGUACACAACAAGGGCUACCGAAGCUGACAUGUUGGGUCCAGGUCUCAUUGACAAGCAGGUACUUGUUUUAACUAAAUUGAUUUAGAUAGGAGGGACCCACAUGUCAUUUGCUAGAAUACUAGUUAGUAUUAAACUAGUGCUGAUCUAAUUAAACCCCCCCCCCCCCACACACACAGCACAUAAUUCACUAUGCUAGGGGUUAAACCUAUUCUUUGUUAUCAGAAGAUAGAAUUUUGUUAUUUUUGUAGGAUUUAAUCCAUGCAUCGAAAGGAUUUGAUCUAGUGGGAACAUUUGAGCCUUGCCAAGUGUAUUACAUACUCAUAUUAUUUUUACACAUAUUAACAAUUGUUUAAGCGCUGAUUAGGGGCUGUUUAGGGGGUUAGUCAGUGCAAAAUUCCUAAAGCUAGCCAUAUAGCUACAGUAGCCACAAGUAGUAGUAGAUUCAGCAGAGUAGCAGCGCAAUAGCAGCAGGCAGCACAAGUGGCAGCAGCGACGGGCACAGGUGGCUGCAGGCAGGGUGCGGCACUGGCAGGUGAGGCGACGCAGCGGGCAGCGACAACGCAGCAGCAGGCGGGCACGACCAUGGCCGGCGAGGCGGGAGUUUCGGCGGGAGCUGGCACGCGACGGCAGCCGCGAGUGGCCCAGGGACGUGGGCGCGCGCGGGAGCAGAGGUCCAGGCGCGACGGCAGGGCGGGUGCCGGUGGCUGCGGGGGUCGGGCGGAGGCGGCAGUGGUAGCAGCACUUAAGCAGCGGCGGGAGCAGCAGCGGACAUGGCAACGAGCGGCGGCAGCGACAUGAGUUGUAGCAGCCGCACGUAUGCGUACGCGAGCGCUGAGCUUCGGGGCAACCAUGGCGACGGAGCGAGGGCGGACGCGAGUAGUGGUGGACAUGGCUGUAAGUGCGCAAGGCACAGUAGCAGCAACCGCACGCACUUAUGCGUACGCGAGGUCUUCGGGCAUGGCGGAGACGACGGCCUACGUCAUCCAAACGAAGGGGAGGGACAGAUGGGUUGGACGGGCAGCUCACCACAGAGGCACACGAAGGCCCGUUGGUGGCUUAGGAGCUGCAGAGGCGACGGAGUUGACGAAGAUGGCCGGCGACCGAAGCGGACGAGGUCGACGCGGAUCCGGCGAAGGAGGGGGUUUCGGCCCGUUUUCGUCUCUGUAGUGGACGCAGCGGACGAAGAUGGUCUUUGUGGAUGCAAUGGCGAGGCGAGAGGUGGCCGGUGGCCACGGGAGAGUGAGCCGGGCGGCGACGGCCGCGCUCGUCGACGGAUCUGGAGAAGGGGAACGAGCGCCUUGGCGAGAGGCGGAGAGAGCGAGGGAAGUGGUGAGCGAGUGGGGUGAUGGGACCGAGGGGUCGGGGCGUGGCGCCCUUAUCCCCUCCCGGCGCUGCCGGCGAGAGGGUGCGGCGGCGACCAAGCCCUUGUAGCGACCGCACGACGGGAACAGGAGAAGGAGACCAAUGGGGGUAGGUGGGCUGGCUCGGGUGUGGGUGGGACGAGGCCCGGUGGAGUCAGGGGCCUGUCUCUUUUAUUUACUUUGCAUUUUCUUUUCUUUUUUUUUACAUUUUAUAUUUUCUAUGUAGUUUUAUUCUAUUUUUACUUUUGUAAAAUACAAACCUAGACUCUAAAUUAGUACUAUUAAAUAUACCACUGCCACAUUUGGUUUGAGGUUGAAAUAAAAUAGUUUAGUAUUUCAAUAAUUUAAAAAGCAUUUAAAAAUUCUUUUUAGCCAUUGUUAUAUUCAUAAAAGGGCAUUGAAAUGUUUUAAGAAAGUGUUGGGUCAUCACCAUAAAUGGUUAUGGAAUAUUUUCCACACUUUAAACAUUUUAUUUUGCAUGUUUGAUAAAUUUGACUUCCGGGCUUUAAUUCGAACUUGAAUUUGAAUUGUGAUUCGAAUAAAGUGAGGAUCAGCAACAGUAAUGUGAUGACAUGGCACCAUUAGCGAGGGUUUACUGUAGCUUAAAUAUCCGGGCAUCACAAUUCUCCUCCACUAUAAGAAAUCUCGUCCCGAGAUUUUAGGAGGUGGAAGGAAACAAAAGCGGGGUAUUCAUCACGAAGAUGAUCCUCGCGUUCCCCAAGUGGCUUCAUCUUGAGAAGGAUUUGACCACUAAACCUUUUAGUAAAUCGAUAGCCCUCUGAUGGUGCGACGUUCAGCUUGAUCGGGAACGUGGAUCGGAUGCUCUCUGUAAGUGAGAUCAUCUUGCAAGGGUUGAGCUUUCGUAAGCCACGGGGCUGUUGCAAUAAGGCUUGCGACUCAGGGCAUUGGCCAUGAUAUUGGCCGUGCCAGGGGUAUAAGAAAUACCGUAGUCAUAGUCUGAAAAUUGUUUCCAUACAUCCUUGUUGACGGAAUCCGAAUCUAGCUGAGUAAACAAUUACCUCAUUCUUUAAUGAUCGGUGAAGAUUUCGCAACGAUUACCAAGAAGGAAAUGUCGCCACAACCUUGGUGCAAAUUUAAGUGCAUCAAGUUCAAAGUCAUGGACUGGGUAGUUCUUUUGAAAACAUAUCUUGGAAUUAAAAAAUUACUGGAGCAUUUUCAAUUCUCACAAGAGGAGAAUUGUUUCACGCAUUCAAGGAAUAAAUUCGUGCUUCGGCAUUUCGAACAGGAUGAGCAAGGUAGCCUACUAUCCAACUUGAAGGAGGUAGUAGAUGAACGGUUUUAGUGUAGAAGCGGUAUGUGUUUUCAUCCAUUCCAUGCCCAGAAUGAGGUCAAUAUUGGAUGACUUCAAAACAAUGGGGAAACAUGGAAUUCCAAGCCUUCGAGCUCAACGAGGAUGUUGUGACUAACCAUGGUGAUUCGACAUUGGCCCGCGGAAUGCAGCUUGGGAUUCCGACCAAGUGAUGGCGGUUCCAACAGGUAUGGAAUGCAGGUAGCUGUCCCACCAUUGAGAAGCGGGACCUUUUGGGUUGUAAGUUGCGAAGGUGACAUAGUUGGCAAGGGCUACAUCAGCAAACUCCAACUCAAAAGUGAUGUCACGGAGUCAGUCAUCAGCAUCAAGGGGCUGAGUUGAGCUUCGGUAGAUGGACGGGUUGAGACGUGCAAAGUCUUACAGAGUCACUAGGGUUGGCUGCUCAUUCAUAUUGGGGCACGGAAACUGAGCCAUGACUCCUACCAUGCACUGGCUAUUCAGCAUCAAACUUGUUGUAUCAUUCCAGACAUGUAUUCGGGCAGUGGUGGAUUGUCAUCACCAGGCCAUGACCAGCGGGUCUAACCAUCCCGCUUAAAUGCAACAGUGGGUAAUUUAGCAAGGGGUGGGGCAAGUAUAUGGAGUAAUCCAUGAUGUAACCUAAACAGUGAGCAAAGGAAUAGUAUGUACAAGGCAGUAGUCAUUAAAGACAUACUGAUACAUAUAUAGAGCCAGUUACACGAUGUUCGAAUGAGUUCGGACAAGAGAAACAUCCCAGACAUACUAUGUGGCACGCAUGCUCGCGAUGGAGGGAUACAACAAUGAGACAUAGCAAAGGCUAAAUCAUCGUCGGAGAAACCCACUAGAGCGAGGAAUCUGCAGGGGAUGACGCAGGGUGCCCUCGAUAGAAGGAUUUCUGUGGCCUGUGGACAAAGUGAAGCAGAUCCUGGCUCCCAAUUCAAGAAAGGCAUGAUACAAAUCUCCGGGUGGAUGUGAUCACGAGAACCUAGGGUAGAGUUAGCAAAACCAUUUAACCCGAAUAGAAGAGAGAUCAGAGUCCCAGAGUAUAGACAAGGAGUAAAAGAUCCUAAUACCACCCAAUGGCGAUGUGGGCCCGUAGGCCACACAGCCAUGUUAGUAAAACGGUUUUUCCAAAGACUAGACUCAACUUCGGCCAAGGAGAUGGAAAGGGGGAUCCUAUAGGAGGUCGGCUCUGAUACCAACUUGUGACACCCCGAUUCAAUCAUACACUAAUCAUACACGCAAGCGUGUACGAUCAAGAUCAGGGACUCACGGGAACAUAUCACAACACAACUCUAAACACAAAAGAAAGACAUACAAGCUUCAUAUUACAAGCUAGGGGCCUCGAGGGCUCGAAUACAAAAGCUCGAUACACAAGCGAGUCAGCGGAAGCAACAAUAUCUGAGUACAGACAUAAGUUAAACAAGUUUUUGCCUUAAGAAGGCUAGCACAAACAUCAACGAUCAAAGAGGCAAGGCCUCCUGCCUGG